CAAUAGCGUAUAUUAAAGUUGUUGCAGUUAAAAAGCUCGUAGUUGGAUUUGUGGCGUGCGGUGGGUUCCGGGCACUUGUUGUCUGAGUAACUUGCUGUUGCCAUCCUUGGGUGGAACCUGUGUGGCAUUAGGUUGUCGUGCAGGGGAUGCCCAUCAUUUACUGUGAAAAAAUUAGAGUGUUCAAAGCAGGCUUAUGCCGUUGAAUAUAUUAGCAUGGAAUAAUGAGAUAGGACUUUUUUGCUAUUUUGUUGGUUUGCGCAAAGAGGUAAUGAUUAAUAGGGACAGUUGGGGGUAUUCGUAUUCCAUUGUCAGAGGUGAAAUUCUUGGAUUUUUGGAAGACGAACUACUGCGAAAGCAUUUACCAAGGAUGUUUUCAUUAA
rnacentral:rRNA from 1 species